rnacentral:tRNA from 1 species
CGGACCGUAGCCCGGCUGGCCCUCCGCCGUGGUGAGGCGGAAGUCGACGUUCGUGUCGUCGCGGACCGAC